GACGAACGCUGGCGGCGUGCUUAACACAUGCAAGUCGAACGGAAAGGCCCUGCUUUUGUGGGGUGCUCGAGUGGCGAACGGGUGAGUAACACGUGAGUAACCUGCCCUUGACUUUGGGAUAACUUCAGGAAACUGGGGCUAAUACCGGAUAGGAGCUCCUGCUGCAUGGUGGGGGUUGGAAAGUUUCGGCGGUUGGGGAUGGACUCGCGGCUUAUCAGCUUGUUGGUGGGGUAGUGGCUUACCAAGGCUUUGACGGGUAGCCGGCCUGAGAGGGUGACCGGCCAAAUUGGGACGGGGAUGCGGCACAGACUACUACGGGAGGCAGCAGUGGGGAAUAUUGCACAAUGGGCGGAAGCCUGAUGCAGCAACGCCGCGUGCGGGAUGACGGCCUUCGGGUUGUAAACCGCUUUCGCCUGUGACGAAGCGUGAGUGACGGUAAUGGGUAAAGAAGCACCGGCUAACUACGUG
rnacentral:rRNA from 1 species